UUCGCAGCUCCGGGACUAGUGUAUAUUAAAUUUGUUGUUUUUAAAAAGUUCAGUAGUUGAAUUUCGGGAUCAAUGUUUCGGUCAUGCCGUUGGUAUGUACUGAUAUUAUUGGUUUCUCACCUUCUAAAGAACCGUAAUGCCAUUAAUUUGGUGUCACGGGGAAUUAGGACUGUAUA
rnacentral:rRNA from 1 species